AUGUUGGGUUCGGGCAGGCGGAGCGGCGGGGCCGGGCCGGGCUGAGGGGCCGCGGGGCGAGGGUCGGAGGAGGGCGAUGUAUCCAGCCUCCUGUGAAAUGCUGAAGGGCAAACCUGGAGAAGGGAUGAAAUCCCUGGGCUCUUAUCCCAGCAGGGAGGAACUGGGGAGCAGUUGGUGUGGUGCCAUCUCAGCCCAGCUCUGGGGGGUUGAGUUACCCAAAGGUUGGGAUGAAGCUGGAGAGCUGGGAAUCUCCAGAUGUGAAGAUCCAGGGUAGCUGCUGCUUUCACUUCCCCAUCUCCAGAAGGUGAGGAGAGUCUGCUCCUGGAGGAGAACUCUGCUCUCCUUGCCCAGCCUGGUGACACAAACCCUCCCAGGUGUAGGAAACAUUUGUCACCCAGGAGGACCCUGAAGUGGGAAGGGAAGGUGGAACCUGAUCCUUUUUGGCACUUGCUCUUCUCCAUCCCACUCUGGGCGACCAUUCCCAGCCCUUGGAGCUCAGCUUCCAGCUGGCAGGAGUGUCCUGGGCACAGGAACAGGUUGUGGGGUGUUAAAAACAGGUUAUAUCCCAUGUUACUCUGGGAAAUCCUCCUGAGUCUCUGAUGUUGGUUAAUUCCUGAAUCCAUGUCUUUGUGCGUGGGAGGAGAGACGAGUUCAUCCCUUAGGAUGAGCCAGGAGAAGCUGUGGGGUCCCAGCAGUGGGAGGAGGAGGAGGAGGAUGCAGCAGCAGGUACGGAACAGGUUUGAUUGGAGCUGCAGCUCCUGCUUUGAGUUGCUUUGGGGAUCAUUGAGUGACUCCCUCUCCCUGUGUCCCUUUCCAUGCCCUAUUCCAGGGCUGGCAGUGCACAGGGGUGGUUGUUUUGAAGUGCUCUCCUGCUCUCUGGAUGAUUCACAGUGGUAGGAGAGGCUUCCUGCCUUGCCAUGAAUGAGGGGAAAGCUCCAUUUCAUAAUGUCUCCUUACUCUUAGCAGGGCUUGUGUCUGUUCCCAAAACUCCCACUGUUUUCACUGCAGGCAUGACCAGACUGUGAAAUAGCUUGGCUGGGCUGCUGAAUAAUCUGGGAGGCUCUUUUAAUAAACUGCAGUUUUAUUUA